AAAUAACAAUAGUUUAUAAGGUUGUAGUGUAUUAUUACAAGCCGAUAACAGUCCAAACGUUAAUAGACUAAACCAACUUUCUACGGGCCUACCUAUUUCGAUACGAGACUUCUUCUCUGUAGCAGGAUAUCCUAUAACGUAGAUCCAGUCUAGAGUCACCUAACCUUAUAUUAAG